CCUACGGGGAGCAGCAGUGGGGAAUAUUGGACAAUGGGCGAAAGCCUGAUCCAGCCAUGCCGCGUGUGUGAAGAAGGCCUUCGGGUUGUAAAGCACUUUCAGUGGGGAAGAAAGCCUUGGGGCUAAUACCCUCGAGGAAGGACAUCACCCACAGAAGAAGCACCGGCUAACUCCGUGCCAGCAGCCGCGGUAAUACGGAGGGUGCGAGCGUUAAUCGGAAUUACUGGGCGUAAAGCGCGCGUAGGCGGUCUGAUAAGCCGGUUGUGAAAGCCCCGGGCUCAACCUGGGAACGGCAUCCGGAACUGUCAGGCUAGAGUGCAGGAGAGGAAGGUAGAAUUCCCGGUGUAGCGGUGAAAUGCGUAGAGAUCGGGAGGAAUACCAGUGGCGAAGGCGGCCUUCUGGACUGACACUGACGCUGAGGCGCGAAAGCGUGGGUAGCAAACAGGAUUAGAUACCCCAGUAGUC
rnacentral:rRNA from 1 species